CCAGGAUGCAGCCAUGCAAAGGCCCAGCCCAGCAGAGGCAGCAGGGCUACCUGUGGGACCUCCACACCCUGGAGGGCAGCGCUGGUGACGAGGUGACAGUGCCAAGUAGGGCACCUGCUCUGGCUGCUGCUACUUCCAUGCGGCCUGAGCUUCCAGGUAGCUCUGCUUGGCUGCUCAGCGAUGGCCUGAGCCCCCAUCCUGCUGGGGAAACUGGUGGUGGUCUGAGGCUAGGACAUGCUGGGCUGCCCCCUGACACUCUAGAGAAACCCUCUUCCUCCUCCUCCCCCUUCCAUCACUGCUCCCCCAGGGGCUGUAGCUGGGGCAGGUGGGAAGCUGCCCUUGGUCUCACCCUGUGACCUGCAGAGGGAUUUGGAGGCAUGACACCUUUUAAGAAAUUCUUAGUGAACUAUGACUUUAUGAUCCCUCAUUCCCAUAGGAAAAGAACUCGCAGUAGCUCCCCAGAGAAUGGUGCCUAUUCUCAGCACCACCACCUCCUCCCACAGACCCCUCCAGCAGGACCCCCCAGACAUCUCCCACCCAAGGAUCCACCAGCUCCAGGUCCUCCAGGCAGCAGCUGCACACCCAGAAACCUCUGAGGGUCUCCAGGCUCCCCUGCACCCACACCGGAUGUUCCAAACAGCCUAGGCCAGGGGUGGUGUUUUUUCUGCCAGAAGUCUUCACCUCCAGGGUUUCAAAAUCACCCUUGAAUAGCCAGGGAUGACCAAGAAGGCUCUUGGAAAGAAAACAGCAGGAGCUUUAGGCUGGGGUGGUGAGCAGAGCACAAGCUGGAGCAAGUUCAGCUCUGUGCCAGGAGAUGCCAAAUUACAUCCAGAAGUGGCUCAGGAAAAUGCAGGCACAAGGAGAAAGGUCCAGCUGAAAUCAGAGGCUGAAGAUGAUGGUGGUGGCAACAGAGAGGACAGAGACACUCCACAGAAAACCUCCAACACACCGUAGGAAAAAAAAAAGGUUUUAUUAUCACCAUUAUCAACGUUUUCAUUAGCUUAACACUGAAUUGUAAAUCACUCAAUCAUUACAUAUUGUCUGAAUAAAACCUACAGACAGGAAAAAAGUAUAGCAGAAUCCUCUCCUGACUACAGACGAGUGGCCGGCGUCCCACCGGCGCUGCCGGGACCGUGUCCCACCUUCCACCCAAGGCAGCCCAGGCACCUCGCGAGCCCCUCGCCACCUGGGCAAGCAGGCUGCCCAGCUCCAUUGCCUGUGUUCCCUCUGGCUCCACAGAGAUUACAUCUCACCAAACGAUGUUCAAAACCUCCAGAAAGUUCUGGUGAGGGUUACAGAGGCCAAAAAGAGCAGAUCUCAGCUGCCCCCACUCAUAGACAAAAGCAAGAGGAGUGUGGUAACACGCCUGCUAAUUUACUGUUUUUUGUGGAGCAAUGAAUGAAGUAAAAAGGUUUAACCUGUGAAAGCAGAUUUCCCUACAGUGGCCAGGCCCUGGCAGUGGGGAAGGAGGCAGAGCUCCAGCACGGUGGCAGAGUGGGAUGGGAGCAGGGAUGGGUUGGGGGUGGCCCCAACCCCGAGCAGAGGCCAGCUCUGCCGCACUGCCCCGGGGCUCCCGGUGGGCAGCGGGAGAUGGAUGCGUCAGUGCAGAGAGAUACCGUGGGCAGCCUCAGUCCCCUCGGGUUGGAAUAAGGCCUCGUGUCGAGAGGGAAGUGGGGACCCAUGGAGGGAGCCGAGGGAGCUGGGGAAAGCAAAGGAAAGGUGCAGGAAAGCUCCCUGGCCAGCACAGAGGCAGCUCCCUGUCUUCUCCUGGCUGUCAAUAGUGGCACAUCCCGCCUGCCUGGGCUGCCGAGCCCCUGCAGAAGACCCCUGGCUCCUUCCAAGGAUUGGAAAGGAAGCAGUUUUUAGGUGGGACUGCUACAAAACGUUGGCAGGACAUGGGCAUCCCUGGUGGGUGGCAGGCCAUGGCAGUGCUGUGUGAGGGGGUCUCAGGGGAGGCACUGCAUCCCUAGGAUGCCCUUUCACCGUGCAGGGAGCGGGAGGAAAACAAUCCCAGUGUGGUGAGGCUAGGGGAACAUGCCUUUAGAUUCAUCCUUCAAACCUCACUUUCCCUGGCUCCAAAGCCAAAACCAGCUCCAGGUCAAAAUGGAAUCACCAGAGUGCAGCACUGUGUCAGGAGCAACAGUCCCAACGAAAAAAACUGCUGAAGGAUUUGAAGAGGAUUUGAAGCUCCAGGCUGGCAUUUAGUGGGACCUGGAGUCCCAGUGGGCAGAUAUCCUAACACUUGGUGCCCAAGCAAACUA